GUGGGGAAUAUUGGACAAUGGGCGAAAGCCUGAUCCAGCCAUGCCGCGUGUGUGAAGAAGGUCUUCGGAUUGUAAAGCACUUUAAGUUGGGAGGAAGGGUAGUAACCUAAUACGUUGCUACUUUGACGUUACCGACAGAAUAAGCACCGGCUAACUUCGUGCCAGCAGCCGCGGUAAUACGAAGGGUGCAAGCGUUAAUCGGAAUUACUGGGCGUAAAGCGCGCGUAGGUGGUUCAGUAAGUUGGAAGUGAAAUCCCCGGGCUCAACCUGGGAACUGCUUUCAAAACUGCUGAGCUAGAGUACGGUAGAGGGUGGUGGAAUUUCCUUUGUAGCGGUGAAAUGCGUAGAUAUAGGAAGGAACACCAGUGGCGAAGGCGACCACCUGGACUGAUACUGACACUGAGGUGCGAAAGCGUGGGGAGCAAACAGGAUUAGAAACCCUGGUAGUCC
rnacentral:rRNA from 1 species